rnacentral:rRNA from 1 species
GACGAACGCUGGCGGCGUGCUUAACACAUGCAAGUCGAACGCUGAAGCUCAGCUUUUGUUGGGUGGAUGAGUGGCGAACGGGUGAGUAACACGUGAGUAACCUGCCCCCUUCUUUGGGAUAACGCCCGGAAACGGGUGCUAAUACUGGAUAUUCACUGGUCUUCGCAUGGGGGUUGGUGGAAAGGGUUGUUCUGGUGGGGGAUGGGCUCGUGGCCUAUCAGCUUGUUGGUGGGGUGAUGGCGUACCAAGGCUUUGACGGGUAGCCGGCCUGAGCGGGUGACCGGUAACAUAGAGACGGUGCUGCGGCCCAGAGUAGGACGCGGGGGAGAAGUGUGGACUAUUGGCGAAUGCGCGAAAGAGUGAUGCCGCGACGGUGCUGGAGGGAUGGGGACCUUCGGGUUGUGAUCCUCUUGAAGUAAUGGUGUGGCAGCAACAAUGGUUGUGGUGACGGUAGUGAAUAAAGAAGCGCCGGCUAACUACGUG